rnacentral:rRNA from 1 species
UCCGUAGGCGGAUCUGUAAGUCAGUGGUGAAAUCUCAUAGCUUAACUAUGAAACUGCCAUUGAUACUGCAGGUCUUGAGUAAGGUAGAAGUAGCUGGAAUAAGUAGUGUAGCGGUGAAAUGCAUAGAUAUUACUUAGAACACCAAUUGCGAAGGCAGGUUACUAUGUCUUAACUGACGCUGAGGUACGAAAGCAUGGGGAGCAAACAGGAUUAGAUACCCUCGUA